rnacentral:rRNA from 1 species
ACGUAGGGGGCGAGCGUUAUUCGGAAUUACUGGGUGUAAAGGGUAUGUAGGCGGUUUGGUAAGUCAGGUGUGAAAGCUUCGGGCUUAACCCGAAAAGUGCACUUGAAACUGCCAGGCUUGAGUUCCGGAGAGGAAGGUGGAAUUCCCAGUGUAGAGGUGAAAUGCGUAGAUAUUGGGAGGAACACCGGUGGCGAAGGCGACCUUCUGGACGGUGACUGACGCUGAGACGCGAAAGCGUGGGGAGCAAACAG